AUGCUCACUUCAGGAGCACAUAUACUAAAAUUGGAACAACACAGAGAAGAUUAGCAUGGCUCCUGCACAAGGAUGACACGCAAAUUCGUGAAGUGUUCCACAUCUUU
ensembl:snRNA U6 U6 spliceosomal RNA